GGUUAAGCGACUAAGCGUACACGGUGGAUGCCCUGGCAGUCAGAGGCGAUGAAGGACGUGCUAAUCUGCGAUAAGCGUCGGUGAGGUGAUAUGAACCGUUAUAACCGGCGAUUUCCGAAUGGGGAAACCCAGUGUGUUUCGACACACUAUCAUUAACUGAAUCCAUAGGUUAAUGAGGCGAACCGGGGGAACUGAAACAUCUAAGUACCCCGAGGAAAAGAAAUCAACCGAGAUUCCCCCAGUAGCGGCGAGCGAACGGGGAGGAGCCCAGAGCCUGAAUCAGUGUGUGUGUUAGUGGAAGCGUCUGGAAAGGCGUGCGAUACAGGGUGACAGCCCCGUACACAAAAAUGCACAUAUUGUGAGCUCGAUGAGUAGGGCGGGACACGUGGUAUCCUGUCUGAAUAUGGGGGGACCAUCCUCCAAGGCUAAAUACUCCUGACUGACCGAUAGUGAACCAGUACCGUGAGGGAAAGGCGAAAAGAACCCCGGCGAGGGGAGUGAAAAAGAACCUGAAACCGUGUACGUACAAGCAGUGGGAGCCUCUUAAUGGGGUGACUGCGUACCUUUUGUAUAAUGGGUCAGCGACUUAUAUUCUGUAGCAAGGUUAACCGAAUAGGGGAGCCGAAGGGAAACCGAGUCUUAACUGGGCGUUAAGUUGCAGGGUAUAGACCCGAAACCCGGUGAUCUAGCCAUGGGCAGGUUGAAGGUUGGGUAACACUAACUGGAGGACCGAACCGACUAAUGUUGAAAAAUUAGCGGAUGACUUGUGGCUGGGGGUGAAAGGCCAAUCAAACCGGGAGAUAGCUGGUUCUCCCCGAAAGCUAUUUAGGUAGCGCCUCGUGAAUUCAUCUCCGGGGUAGAGCACUGUUUCGGCAAGGGGGUCAUCCCGACUUACCAACCCGAUGCAAACUGCGAAUACCGGAGAAUGUUAUCACGGGAGACACACGGCGGGUGCUAACGUCCGUCGUGAAGAGGGAAACAACCCAGACCGCCAGCUAAGGUCCCAAAGUCAUGGUUAAGUGGGAAACGAUGUGGGAAGGCCCAGACAGCCAGGAUGUUGGCUUAGAAGCAGCCAUCAUUUAAAGAAAGCGUAAUAGCUCACUGGUCGAGUCGGCCUGCGCGGAAGAUGUAACGGGGCUAAACCAUGCACCGAAGCUGCGGCAGCGACACUAUGUGUUGUUGGGUAGGGGAGCGUUCUGUAAGCCUGUGAAGGUGGCCUGUGAGGGUUGCUGGAGGUAUCAGAAGUGCGAAUGCUGACAUAAGUAACGAUAAAGCGGGUGAAAAGCCCGCUCGCCGGAAGACCAAGGGUUCCUGUCCAACGUUAAUCGGGGCAGGGUGAGUCGACCCCUAAGGCGAGGCCGAAAGGCGUAGUCGAUGGGAAACAGGUUAAUAUUCCUGUACUUGGUGUUACUGCGAAGGGGGGACGGAGAAGGCUAUGUUGGCCGGGCGACGGUUGUCCCGGUUUAAGCGUGUAGGCUGGUUUUCCAGGCAAAUCCGGAAAACCAAGGCUGAGGCGUGAUGACGAGGCACUACGGUGCUGAAGCGACAAAUGCCCUGCUUCCAGGAAAAGCCUCUAAGCAUCAGGUAACAUCAAAUCGUACCCCAAACCGACACAGGUGGUCAGGUAGAGAAUACCAAGGCGCUUGAGAGAACUCGGGUGAAGGAACUAGGCAAAAUGGUGCCGUAACUUCGGGAGAAGGCACGCUGAUAUGUAGGUGAAGCGACUUGCUCGUGGAGCUGAAAUCAGUCGAAGAUACCAGCUGGCUGCAACUGUUUAUUAAAAACACAGCACUGUGCAAACACGAAAGUGGACGUAUACGGUGUGACGCCUGCCCGGUGCCGGAAGGUUAAUUGAUGGGGUUAGCGGCAACGCGAAGCUCUUGAUCGAAGCCCCGGUAAACGGCGGCCGUAACUAUAACGGUCCUAAGGUAGCGAAAUUCCUUGUCGGGUAAGUUCCGACCUGCACGAAUGGCGUAAUGAUGGCCAGGCUGUCUCCACCCGAGACUCAGUGAAAUUGAACUCGCUGUGAAGAUGCAGUGUACCCGCGGCAAGACGGAAAGACCCCGUGAACCUUUACUAUAGCUUGACACUGAACAUUGAGCCUUGAUGUGUAGGAUAGGUGGGAGGCUUUGAAGUGUGGACGCCAGUCUGCAUGGAGCCGACCUUGAAAUACCACCCUUUAAUGUUUGAUGUUCUAACGUUGGCCCGUAAUCCGGGUUGCGGACAGUGUCUGGUGGGUAGUUUGACUGGGGCGGUCUCCUCCUAAAGAGUAACGGAGGAGCACGAAGGUUGGCUAAUCCUGGUCGGACAUCAGGAGGUUAGUGCAAUGGCAUAAGCCAGCUUGACUGCGAGCGUGACGGCGCGAGCAGGUGCGAAAGCAGGUCAUAGUGAUCCGGUGGUUCUGAAUGGAAGGGCCAUCGCUCAACGGAUAAAAGGUACUCCGGGGAUAACAGGCUGAUACCGCCCAAGAGUUCAUAUCGACGGCGGUGUUUGGCACCUCGAUGUCGGCUCAUCACAUCCUGGGGCUGAAGUAGGUCCCAAGGGUAUGGCUGUUCGCCAUUUAAAGUGGUACGCGAGCUGGGUUUAGAACGUCGUGAGACAGUUCGGUCCCUAUCUGCCGUGGGCGCUGGAGAACUGAGGGGGGCUGCUCCUAGUACGAGAGGACCGGAGUGGACGCAUCACUGGUGUUCGGGUUGUCAUGCCAAUGGCACUGCCCGGUAGCUAAAUGCGGAAGAGAUAAGUGCUGAAAGCAUCUAAGCACGAAACUUGCCCCGAGAUGAGUUCUCCCUGACUCCUUGAGGGUCCUGAAGGAACGUUGAAGACGACGACGUUGAUAGGCCGGGUGUGUAAGCGCAGCGAUGCGUUGAGCUAACCGGUACUAAUGAACCGUGAGGCUUAACCUU
rnacentral:rRNA from 1 species